rnacentral:rRNA from 1 species
GAGUUUGAUCAUGGCUCAGAAUGAACGCUGGCGGCGCGCCUAAUACAUGCAAGUCGAGCGAGAAGACGUAGCAAUACGUUUGUAAAGCGGCGAACGGGUGAGGAAUACAUGGGUAACCUACCCUCGAGUGGGGAAUAACUAGCCGAAAGGUUAGCUAAUACCGCGUACGCUCCUUGGACUUCGGUUCAGGGAGGAAAGCGAUACCGUGGGUAUCGCGCUCUUGGUUGGGCUCAUGUCCUAUCAGCUUGUUGGUGAGGUAACGGCUCACCAAGGCUUCGACGGGUAGCUGGUCUGAGAGGACGAUCAGCCACACUGGCACUGCGACACGGGCCAGACUCCUACGGGAGGCAGCAGUAAGGAAUAUUGCGCAAUGGGCGAAAGCCUGACGCAGCGACGCCGCGUGGGGGAUGAAGGUCUUCGGAUUGUAAACCCCUUUCGGGAGGGAAGAUGGAAUGGGGUAACCCAUUCGGACGGUACCUCCAGAAGCAGCCACGGCUAACUUCGUGCCAGCAGCCGCGGUAAUACGAAGGUGGCAAGCGUUAUUCGGAUUUACUGGGCGUACAGGGAGCGUAGGCGGUUCGGUAAGCCCUCUGUGAAAUCUCCAGGCUUAACCUGGAAAAGUCGGAGGGGACUGCUGGGCUAGA